UACGGAGGAUCCAAGCGUUAUCCGGAUUUAUUGGGUUUAAAGGGUGCGUAGGCGGUUUAUUAAGUCAGGGGUGAAAGACGGUAGCUUAACUAUCGCAGUGCCUUUGAUACUGCAGGGCUUGAAUGUACUUGAGGUAGGCGGAAUGUGACAAGUAGCGGUGAAAUGCAUAGAUAUGUCACAGAACACCAAUUGCGAAGGCAGCUUACUAAAGUAUGAUUGACGCUGAGGCACGAAAGCGUGGGGAUCAAACAGG
rnacentral:rRNA from 1 species